rnacentral:rRNA from 1 species
GGGCUCACACAAGCGGUGGAGCAUGUUGUUUAAUUCGAUGCAACGCGAAGAACCUUACCUGGGCUUGACAUUCAUGUGGUACCAAACCGAAAGGGGCGGGACCGUCUUUUGGCGGAGCAUGAACAGGUAUUGCAUGGCUGUCGUCAGCUCGUGUCGUGAGAUGUUGGGUUAAGUCCCGUAACGAGCGCAACCCUUAUCCUUAGUUGCCAGCACAUAAUGGUGGGGACUCUAGGGAGACUGCCGGUGUCAAACCGGAGGAAGGCGGGGACGACGUCAAGUCAUCAUGGUCCUUACGCCCCAGGGCCACAAACGUGCUACAAUGGUCGGUACAAUGAGCAGCAAAGCCGUGAGGUGGAGCAAAUCUCAAAAAGCCGGCCCCAGUUCGGAUUGAAGGCUGCAAUUCGCCUUCAUGAAGUCGGAAUCGCUAGUAAUCGC